UCUAUUGUUCCGUCGAGGGAUAGAUACCUAUAAAAGAAAAGUGUGGAAGACAAAUUUAUCAGGAGCUCAAUCUGGACGAAUUCGCCGCCAGUUCAACAGCUCUGCUAUACAAAUACAGCUUCCAUUUGGACCAAAAGAGCCAUAAAGUUUGAAAAACAAUGAAAAUUUCACUAGUUGCCGCUGCAUUGUUACUGGUGGCACAUUUGGUGGAAGCCACCAGUGAGAAAUCGGGGAACGAAGUUUAUUCUGCCCAGAAACGGUCUUCACUCACGAAAGGUCUUGCUCGCAGAAGAGCAUGCGGCUCCAUUAACUGCAAGGUGUCGGGCUGUGAGUCCAGGGGUGGCUGGUGGUUUGUGUCGAAUUCCGCCGGCUGGAACAUCCGGGGCUCUGACCGCGGUUGCUGUGGCAACUACGGUGGCUGUUGCAAGCAUGCUUCAGACUUGUGCUACAUACACGACUACACGUGUCGCUGUUGUAUACCUAGAUUGUAUUGUGGACCCCAGUGCAAGAAAAAUUCGGGCUGUUGACACCUUGUCCUAAAUAUCAUUACUUGAAACAAAUUUGCAUUUACCAGGCUACGUUCGGUUUGCCCUUUCUAAAGGACCCUAGACUUUGCUGACAUUGGAAAUAGUUCCUAUACAGAUUGUAGUAGAUUUUUCAUUUUAGUGUAAACUUUGUAAUAUCCACCUUUGGCACGAGCUCCUGAAAAUGAAAUGACUACAUGAAUGUUCAAGAUCGUCACCACGAUUGGCGUUUGUAAAAGAACACUAUAUUAGACCAUUAACCGUUUCAGCGGCCAAAAUGGUCAUCAUAUAUGCAUAACAGAUAUCAAA